rnacentral:rRNA from 1 species
CGUGCGAGCCUGAUCCAGCCAUGCCGCGUGUGUGAAGAAGGUCUUCGGAUUGUAAAGCACUUUAAGUUGGGAGGAAGGGCAGUAAGUUAAUACCUUGCUGUUUUGACGUUACCAACAGAAUAAGCACCGGCUAACUUCGUGCCAGCAGCCGCGGUAAUUGA